CCCUUAGAUGUUCUGGGCCGCACGCGCGCUACACUGACGGAGUCAACGAGUUGUCCUGCAUCGGAAGGUGUGGGUAAUCUUUUGAAACUUCGUCGUGCUGGGGAUAGAUCUUUGCAAUUUUCGAUCUUGAACGAGGAAUUCCUAGUAAGCGUGAUUCAUCAGAUCGCGUUGAUUACGUCCCUGCCCUUUGUACACACCGCCCGUCGCUACUACCGAUUGAAUGGUUUAGUGAGGCCUCGGGACUGGCGCGCUCGAGUAGCAAUACACCUGCGCGCCGGGAACUUGGUCAAACUCGAUCAUUUAGAGGAAGUAAAAGUCGUAACA
rnacentral:rRNA from 1 species